CCACCCAUCUCUCCUUUACUUUCUCACACACAUUUACAAAUCCCCCAUAUAACUUUCAAUCAAACCAAUGGCGCUCAGCUGGAAAGAUUGGUGCCUUGAAGUUGGAUUGGAAGAAGACAACAAGUAGAGAAAUAUGCUAUGACCGGAAAAUUGAAGAAAGUUUGUUUAUACACUUAAAUGAAAGGGAGACUAGAAUAGUUGUCAGAUAAUCCGCCACAAAAUGUUCUUUAAUGUUGAAAUUAGGUGUAUGGUUUUUGUAUAGUUUGGAUUUUAUUGUGUUAUUUGAAUAAGUUGGUAUUUUAAUUUGAUUGUUUGUAUAUUAAGUAAA